AGUGAACGCUGGCGGCGUGGUUAAGACAUGCAAGUCGAACGGGAUUAGAUAGACUGACGCUUCGGUUGAUUUCUAUUUAUGAGAGUGGCAAACGGGUGCGUAACACGUAAGCAACCUGCCCUAAAGUAUGGGAUAGCUCAGCGAAAGUUGAAUUAAUACCGUAUGUGGCUCGGUAACUCAUGUUACUAGAGCUAAAGCUUGAGAUGGCGCUUUAGGGAGGGGCUUGCGGCCUAUCAGUCUUGUUGGUGAGGUAACGGCUCACCAAGGCAAAGACGGGUAGCUGG
rnacentral:rRNA from 1 species